UCAAGACUCUUUUGCUCUCCGAGC
rnacentral:siRNA from 1 species